rnacentral:tRNA from 1 species
CGGGGAGUAGCGCAGCGGCUUAGCGCACAUGCUUUGGGAGCAUGGGGUCCAGGGUUCAAAUCCCUGCUCCCCGA